CAGCCGCCACGGUAAUACGAAGGGGGCUAGCGUUGCUCGGAAUGACUGGGCGUAAAGGGCGCGUAGGCGGCUUGGCAAGUCUUGUGUGAAAUCUAUGGGCUCAACCCAUAGUCUGCACGGGAAACUGUCGGGCUUGAGAAUGGGAGAGGUGAGUGGAAUUUCCGGUGUAGCGGUGAAAUGCGUAGAUAUCGGAAGGAACACCUGUGGCGAAAGCGGCUCACUGGACCAUUUCUGACGCUGAUGCACGAAAGCUAGGGGAGCAAACAGGAUUAGAUACCCCCGUAGUCCCUGUCUCUUAUAC
rnacentral:rRNA from 1 species